GACGAACGCUGGCGGCGUGCCUAAUACAUGCAAGUUGAGCGCUGAAGGUUGGUACUUGUACCAACUGGAUGAGCAGCGAACGGGUGAGUAACGCGUGGGGAAUCUGCCUUUGAGCGGGGGACAACAUUUGGAAACGAAUGCUAAUACCGCAUAAAAACUUUAAACACAAGUUUUAAGUUUGAAAGAUGCAAUUGCAUCACUCAAAGAUGAUCCCGCGUUGUAUUAGCUAGUUGGUGAGGUAAAGGCUCACCAAGGCGAUGAUACAUAGCCGACCUGAGAGGGUGACCGGCCACAUUGGAACUGAGACACGGCCCAAACUCCUACGGGAGGCAGCAGUAGGGAAUCUUCGGCAAUGGACGAAAGUCUGACCGAGCAACGCCGCGUGAGUGAAGAAGGUUUUCGGACCGUAAACUCUGUUGGUAGAGAAGAACGUUGGUGAGAGUGGAAAGCUCAUCAAGUGACGGUAACUACCCAGAAAGGGACGGCUAACUACGUG
rnacentral:rRNA from 1 species